rnacentral:rRNA from 1 species
UACGGGGGGAGCAAGCGUUGUUCGGAUUUACUGGGCGUAAAGCGCACGUAGGCGGACUAUUAAGUCAGGGGUGAAAUCCCGGGGCUCAACCCCGGAACUGCCUUUGAUACUGGUAGUCUUGAGUUCGAGAGAGGUGAGUGGAAUUCCGAGUGUAGAGGUGAAAUUCGUAGAUAUUCGGAGGAACACCAGUGGCGAAGGCGGCUCACUGGCUCGAUACUGACGCUGAGGUGCGAAAGCGUGGGGAGCAAACAGG